AUGGGGAAUGGGUCACAUGCUUCUGUUCGUGGCAUUGGCACGGUGGAUCUAAAGUUUACUUCGGGAAAGAUCGUGCAACUAAGGAACGUGCAGCAUGUCCCUACUAUGAACAAGAAUCUAGUUAGUGGCUCCCUUCUAUGUCGAGAUGGUUUUAAGGUAGUUUUAGAGUCCAAUAAAGUAAUCGUGUCAAGAUUUGGACAAUUUAUAGGAAAAGGCUAUGAGUGCGGAGGCUUGUUCCGCUUUUCUCUUUCAGAUUUUUGCAAUAAGUCAAUAAACCAAAUUUGUGCUAGUGUUAAUGAUGAUGCAAGUAUUUGGCACUCUCGUUUAUGUCAUAUUAAUUUUGGUUUAAUGUCUCGGCUAUCCAGCAUGAGUUUAAUUCCGAACUUCACAGUUGCCAAAGGUUCUAAGUGCCAUAGUUGUGUGCAAUCUAAGCAACCUCGAAAGCCUCAUAAGGCUGCCGAGGAGAGAAACUUGGCACCUCUAGAACUCAUACAUUCUGAUCUUUGUGAGAUGAAUGGUGUGUUGACAAAAGGUGGAAAGAGAUAUUUCAUGACUUUGAUUGAUGAUGCGACUAGAUUUUGCUAUGUUUAUUUGUUGCAAACUAAAGAUGAAGCAUUAGACUACUUUAAAAUCUAUAAAGCUGAAGUUGAAAAUCAACUAGAGAGAAAGAUCAAGCGUCUUAGAGUUCCCAACAAUAAUAAAGAGAAAACCCCUUAUGAGGAGUGGGUUGGGAGAAAACCAUCACUUUCUUAUUUGCGCACUUGGGGAUGUUUGGCAAAGGUCAAUAUUCCUAUUCCUAAGAAAUGCAAACUUGGACCAAAGACAGUGGAUUGUGUCUUUCUAGGGUAUGCUCAACGGAGCAUUGCUUAUAGGUUUUUAGUGGUAAAAUCUGAAGUACCUGAUAUGCAUGUUGACGAUUGGAAAGAAGCUGUUCAUAAUGAGAUGGACUCAAUUCUUUCUAAUGGAACUUGGGAACUAACUGAUAGACCAUAUGGUUGUAAACCUGUGGGCUGUAAGUGGGUGUUCAAAAAGAAGCUAAAGCCUGAUGGAUUUGUCAUUAACGAGGCUGAUAGGUGUGUUUACUAUCGCCAUGGUGGGGGCAAUAGUCUCAUAUUAUGUUUGUCUGUGGACGACAUACUGAUCUUUGGUACAAACAUUAAUGCAAUUAAUGAGGUCAAGUCUUUUCUAUCAAAAAGUUUUGACAUGAAAGAUCUGGGAGAAGCCGAUGUAAUUCUAAACAUCAAACUUAUUAAGGAUGAGAGUGGGAUUACAUUAACGCAAUCUCACUAUGUUGAGAAGGUCUUGAACCGAUUCGGUUUUAUGGAUAGCAAGCCUUCUCCAACACCUUAUGAUCCCAGCGUGACACUCAGAAAGAACAAGAAAGAAACGAGAGAUCAAUUAAGAUACUCUCAAAUUGUCGGUUCACUCAUGUACUUAGCUAGCGCUACAAGACCAGCUAUCUCUUUUGCUGUGAGCAAACUGAGUAGGUUCAUGUCCAACCCGGGUGAUGAUCAUUGGCAUGCACUAGAAAGGGUCUUGCGCUAUCUGAGAGGUACUAUGAGUUACGGAAUUACUUAUUCAGGGCAUCCUGCUGUGCUAGAAGGAUAUAGUGAUUCAAAAUGGAUCUCCGAUGUUGAUGUACUUUACGCAACAAGUGGGUAUGUAUUUACUCAUGGUGGUGGCGCAGUGUCAUGGAGGUCUUGCAAGCAAACCAUAUUGACGAGGUCAACUAUGGAAGCAGAAUUAACUGCUUUGGACACAGCUACUGUUGAGGCAGAAUGGCUGCGUGAGCUCUUGAUGGACUUGCCGGUUGUUGAAAAACCUGUACCGGCUAUUCUUAUGAAUUGUGAUAACCAAACACAUGAAAAGACGUUUGAAGUCUGUCAGGAAGUUGAGAAACUCCGGAGUAAUAACUGUUACGUAUAUACAAACAGACAAAAACCUGGCAGAUCCCUUUACAAAGGGACAAUCACGAAAUGUGAUAGAUAUUGCAUCGAGGGAGAUGGGUAUGAGACCCAUAGCAGUCUUGAAAGAACACACCUAUAUGAGUUCUGA
rnacentral:rRNA from 1 species